rnacentral:rRNA from 1 species
GACGAACGCUGGCGGCGUGCUUAACACAUGCAAGUCGAACGGAAAGGCCCUGCUUGCAGGGUGCUCGAGUGGCGAACGGGUGAGUAACACGUGUGUGAUCUGCCCCUUAUUUUGGGAUAAGCCUGGGAAACUGGGUCUAAUACUGGAUAGGACCAUGCUGUAGGUGGUGUGGUGGAAAGAUUAGUUUCGGUAAGGGAUGAGCUCGCGGCCUAUCAGCUUGUUGGUGGGGUAAUGGCCUACCAAGGCGUCGACGGGUAGCCGGCCUGAGAGGGUGGACGGCCACAUUGGGACUGAGAUACGGCCCAGACUCCUACGGGAGGCAGCAGUGGGGAAUAUUGCACAAUGGGCGCAAGCCUGAUGCAGCGACGCCGCGUGGGGGAUGACGGCCUUCGGGUUGUAAACUCCUUUCAGCCAUGACGAAGCCCUUGUGGUGACGGUAGUGGUAGAAGAAGCACCGGCUAACUACGUG